rnacentral:lncRNA from 1 species
GUGUUAUGUUUUGUUUUACUAGGAAAUGGAGGUGGUCUCCGGUCCUCGGUGGACUUGUGAUACCCUUCACGGCCAGGCCUUAGUUCAAGUCAUGAAAACUAGUUUAUUCAAUGGAUUUUGGCUUACGUACUUGGGAUAUUGGUUUGAAUUGAAAUACUCAUUUGUUUGGUUGUGAGAAUUUUAUCCUAAUAUCAUAUUCAUUCAAGAAAUAUUGGUAGCACUAUCGAAAUACUGGAAACACUAACAUUUUCUAAUAGAAAUGUGACAUUUUUAAAAACCCUCAAUCGAUGUAUUUGCCGGAGAGGAGUUAUGGAUAUUAAAUUGGUCAUUGGACUGUAAAUGGGUUGACGAACCCCCCAUGGGUCCUACUUGGGAGUAUAGCUUAGUAGGUAUAUAAGGAUAUUGAGAAACAACCUCCUGUAUUAUAUUAUAUCAUUAUUAUUAUCAUUAUCCUCAUUAUAUUCAUUACAUUUCAAAUGUAUAUAUUGUUCUUGUUUUGUGUUGUAUUAUUGUUUUUGAUGUGAUAUCUAUCUAUGCAUACAGUUUUCCAUACUUGUAUAUGUGAUAUUUGCAUACUGUAAUUUCCUUAUUAUAUUUGUGUGUGGUAUAUGUGAAUAUUAUAGAACUAUUAGUGGAGAUAGUGUGGUCUACCGUUUGGGACAUUUUCUGAUUGUAGGUUAUGUGCCCUUAGUGUGUAUUUUGUAUGCUUAUUUUCACUUUUCUCAGUUGUCCUAUGAUACCUACUGAGUACAAGUGGACCGUACUCACCCCUAAUGUAGGCUUUUAGUGU